rnacentral:rRNA from 1 species
GACGAACCCUGGCGGCGUGCCUCAUACAUGCCAAGUAGAACGCUGAAGAGAGGAGCUUGCUCUUCUUGGAUGAGUUGCGAACGGGUGAGUAACGCGUAGGUAACCUGCCUGGUAGCGGGGGAUAACUAUUGGAAACGAUAGCUAAUACCGCAUGAAAUUCAUUGUCGCAUGAUAAUUAAUUGAAAGAUGCAAUUGCAUCACUACCAGAUGGACCUGCGUUGUAUUAGCUAGUUGGUGAGGUAACGGCUCACCAAGGCGACGAUACAUAGCCGACCUGAGAGGGUGAUCGGCCACACUGGGACUGAGACACGGCCCAGACUCCUACGGGAGGCAGCAGUAGGGAAUCUUCGGCAAUGGGGGGAACCCUGACCGAGCAACGCCGCGUGAGUGAAGAAGGUUUUCGGAUCGUAAAGCUCUGUUGUAAGAGAAGAACGGGUGUGAGAGUGGAAAGUUCACACUGUGACGGUAUCUUACCAGAAAGGGACGGCUAACUACGUGCCAGCAGCCGCGGUAAUACGUAGGUCCCGAGCGUUGUCCGGAUUUAUUGGGCGUAAAGCGAGCGCAGGCGGUUAGAUAAGUCUGAAGUUAAAGGCUGUGGCUUAACCAUAGUAUGCUUUGGAAACUGUUUAACUUGAGUGCAGAAGGGGAGAGUGGAAUUCCAUGUGUAGCGGUGAAAUGCGUAGAUAUAUGGAGGAACACCGGUGGCGAAAGCGGCUCUCUGGUCUGUAACUGACGCUGAGGCUCGAAAGCGUGGGGAGCAAACAGG